rnacentral:rRNA from 1 species
GACGAACGCUGGCGGCGUGCCUAAUACAUGCAAGUAGAACGCUGAAGGAGGAGCUUGCUCUUCUGGAUGAGUUGCGAACGGGUGAGUAACGCGUAGGUAACCUGCCUGGUAGCGGGGGAUAACUAUUGGAAACGAUAGCUAAUACCGCAUAAUAGUAGAUGUUGCAUGAUAUUUACUUAAAAGGUGCAAUUGCACCACUACCAGAUGGACCUGCGUUGUAUUAGCUAGUUGGUGGGGUAACGGCUCACCAAGGCGACGAUACAUAGCCGACCUGAGAGGGGGGUCGGCCACACUGGGACUGAGACCCGGCCCAGGCUCCUACGGGAGGCAGCAGUAGGGAAUCUUCGGCGAUGGACGAAAGUCUGACCGGGCCACGCCGCGUGAGUGAAGAAGGUUUUCGGAUCGUAAAGCUCUGUUGUAAGGGAAGAACGAGUGUGGGAGUGGAAAGUUCACACUGUGACGGUAUCUUACCAGAAAGGGACGGCUAACUACGUG